AGGUUAAUUUCAUAGCCGAGUGCUGCCUGCCAAGGUCAGUGUGACCAGCUGAGCCAACUCAGCUAGUGACUUUCAGGACACUCAUCUCUCAGGAACACUGAGGUUCCCAGGAUGGUGCCAGGCACACAAUAGAAGCUCAUUAAAUGUUUGUUGUGAGAACGAAGGCAGCAACUCUUAAGGAUGACAGCUGGGAGCUAUGGACCACUGGAGUAUCCAGUACUCUCUAAUCAAUCCAUACCAGAGAACAGUAUCUGUGAAGGUCCUACCUGGCCAAGCGCUGCUCUAAGACAUGGUACCGCUCCUCUCUGAGGCUUCCUCCAAAGAGUUCCCCAACCCCGGGAACCAGAAGAUCAACAGCAGCAACCUAGAAAGGAAGUAAAAAUCAUUAGCAUUAUGUUUUCAGGUGAUUCCAAUAGUCAGCUUCUUGAGCAAGUAGAAAUUUUAACAUUUUGACAACUAGAUGUUUAACUGCCUGCCAGAAUCUUACUCACUUUAUUUGUCCAUGCUCCUUGUUUCAGUAUCAAAUGUUUAAAUGUUUAAUAUUCUCUUUUAAAUAUAUGCUACACCAAUUGAGGUGGGCAGUUUCCUCUCUCCUCUUCUACCAUUUGUGUGGUGU